UAUAUAUAGUGAGUGACGACCAGUGUUUUGAAUAUUAAAUAUAUAUAUCAUUUAAUUAUUGAUAUAUUUUGAAAAGGUUGUCUAUUAAAAGAAAAUGACUUUUUGCUGCGUUCCUCAUUGUCGCAAUAAAAGUGAGGAUGGCAUUUCGAUGAGGCAUUUUCCAAAAAAUGCUGAACGCCGAGCAUUAUGGGCCCAAAAAGUAAAUAGAAAAAAUUGGGAACCUAAUGAUUAUUCGUGUAUUUGUGAUGUUCACUUUUCAUCAGAAAUGUGGGAGAAACCUCGUGUCGAUGGCAAAAAAAAUUAAAGGCUAAUUCUGUACCAACAAUUUUUCCUCUACCGAAACAUAGAGAGCCAGGGUUUUUGUCAAAUGAAUAUUGACAAAGAGGUUCAAGAUUCUUUUAAUACUUCUGUAGUAUCUAUGAAUGAUACUUUUUGUGUACCAUUGGAAUCUUCUGCACCAUUGGAGUCUUCUGCACCAUUGGAGUCUUCUAAUACAAUUAAUUUAACUUCAGUAUCCACAAUAUCCAGUCCACUGGAC